rnacentral:rRNA from 1 species
AUUGAACGCUGGCGGCAUGCUUUACACAUGCAAGUCGAACGGUAACAGGCCUUCGGGUGCUGACGAGUGGCGAACGGGUGAGUAAUGCAUCGGAACGUGCCCAGAGGUGGGGGAUAACGCAGCGAAAGCUGUGCUAAUACCGCAUGUGAUCUGAGGAUGAAAGCGGGGGACCAAGCAGCAAUGUUUGGCCUCGCGCCUCUGGAGCGGCCGAUGUCAGAUUAGGUAGUUGGUGGGGUAAAGGCCUACCAAGCCGAUGAUCUGUAGCUGGUCUGAGAGGACGACCAGCCACACUGGGACUGAGACACGGCCCAGACUCCUACGGGAGGCAGCAGUGGGGAAUUUUGGACAAUGGGCGCAAGCCUGAUCCAGCAAUGCCGCGUGCGGGAAGAAGGCCUUCGGGUUGUAAACCGCUUUUGUACGGAACGAAAAGGCUCUGGCUAAUACCUGGGGCUGAUGACGGUACCGUAAGAAUAAGCACCGGCUAACUACGUG